GCUGGAGAGAUCUGAAAAUGGCUGUGCACCAACGCUCCCCAUCCAACCUGAUGGUGCUUGAGAGGUGCUGCAAAGACGAAUGAACAAAACUGCCCAAAGAUAAGUGCACCACGCUUGUGGCUUCAUAUUCAGGAAGACCUGAGGCUACAAUUGCUGCCAGAGGUGCAUCAACAAACUGUUG